UACGUAGGUGGCGAGCGUUGUCCGGAUUUACUGGGCGUAAAGAGCGCGCAGGCGGUCGUGCAAGUCGCGUGUGAAAGCCCCCCGGCUCAACUGGGGAGGGUCACGCGAUACUGCUCGACUCGAAGGCAGGAGAGGGAAGUGGAAUUCCCGGUGUAGUGGUGAAAUGCGUAGAUAUCUGGAGGAACACCGGUGGCGAAGGCGGCAUCCUGGACCAACACUGACGCUGAGGAGCGAAAGCCAGGGGAGCAAACGGG
rnacentral:rRNA from 1 species